rnacentral:tRNA from 1 species
AUGCAUCUAUUCUUAAUAGAGAACAAUUUAAAUUGAUAAUUUAAAUUAAAAUUUAAGAUUUCAA